rnacentral:lncRNA from 1 species
GGUUUUUAUGGUAAUUGGAAGGGCUGGGCAAACACACAGAGAAAUAAGUUAAUGGGAAGACAGAAUUCUUCUUCUCCUCCUCCUCCCCCAACCAACUUCUGCUGUCUUUUUCAGUUGGAAUCUAGCUGGGAUCAGAAUGGAUGCAGCUAAUAGCUUAUAAUCAUGCUCAAAGCAUCCUAUUUGGAAAAAGCUUCAGGAGUGGUUUUACUCAUUGCAAGGCAGAUUAUUCAAUACAAGGAACCUUCCAGGAACUUGAAACAACAGGAGAAAGGAGAAAGGUGUGUGGAAAGAUAUGUCAUGUCUGUCAGGAGCAAUUUGUGAAAAGCAACAACUUUCACUGUGUGUGCCUCAUCAUCUGGGAAACCUGAUGAAAUAUAAUCAGUCUACAAUCAUUAAGCUUGUGUCAGACACUGUAGUAAAAUCUGAGGAUGUGAAGAAAAGCAAAUAUGGAGUUCCUGCUUUCAGUAAACUCAUAUUCCAACUGCAAAUUUUAAAGAUGAGGCAGCCGAAGCAAGGAGGUGUAAAUGACUGGCUUAGGGUCACCGAACUGCUAUAUGAGGAGAAAGUGUUUUCCUUAGAGGACUCAAAUUCACAACAGACUGCUGACAUCUAUCCAUGGACCACUUCUGAAGUUAACAAUCUUUGUCAUGAAGAGUAGAAAGUAUGUCAAAGGAAGGACAACAGUACAGGAGAGCUAUUUGUAGAACUAGUAAAAACAUACAUUGUUUUAAAUAGGUUGAAAUUGGAUAAAGAAUGAGACAUAAACAAAGUAAGCUAGAGAUCUUAAUGAAAGGAGGCAAGUUUGAACUCCUAAGAAUCAUUAGGACAUGAUGGAAUACAAUUUUGUGAUUGAAUGGAAAGAUAUUUAUUCAAAAAUAAAACUCAUUGACAACAGAGGUGGUAGGGUAAU